GAUGAACGCUGGCGGCGUGCUUAACACAUGCAAGUCGAACGAGAAGUGAAGACGGAAACCUUCGGGCAGAAGGCUUUAUUUCGAGUGGCGGACGGGUGAGUAACGCGUGGGUAACCUGCCUCAUACAGGGGGAUAACAGUUGGAAACGACUGUUAAUACCGCAUAAGACCACAGCACCGCAUGGUGCGGGGGUAAAAACUCCGGUGGUAUGAGAUGGACCCGCGUUCGAUUAGCCAGUUGGCGGGGUAACGGCCCACCAAAGCGACGAUCGAUAGCCGAUCUGAGAGGAUGACCGGCCACAUUGGGACUGAGACACGGCCCAAACUCCUACGGGAGGCAGCAGUGGGGAAUAUUGCACAAUGGGGGAAACCCUGAUGCAGCGACGCCGCGUGAGUGAAGAAGUAUUUCGGUAUGUAAAGCUCUAUCAGCAGGGAAGAAAAUGACGGUACCUGAGUAAGAAGCCCCGGCUAACUACGUG
rnacentral:rRNA from 1 species